rnacentral:lncRNA from 1 species
CCUAAUUUCUACCCUUAUAUAAUAGUACCUAAUUCUUAAAUGAGAGACCUACACCCUAAAUAUUGAAUUUGCCAUUUGUUUCCCGAAAGAUAAAAGAAAAGCUUGAACGGAAAAAUACAAAAAGAAAGCAAAUAAUAGACUAAUGCCAAAACAGCAAAAGGGCGGCCGCACUUCAACCUACAGAGACCCCUAUUGUCCUUUUCCUUUAAAAAAAGUAUCAAAAAAAAUUGUCGACUCUUUGCACAAUGCCAUAAAAGAUUCUCCAAAUUUUGCCAACUAAUGUCUUCUCAUUUUUUUACAAACAUUGCAAGCCUCCACUUCAAUAUAUAAUACCACAUCGUCAGAUAGAAAAGAAAAGAAAAUGAUAGCUCAGCUUUCAUGGUCGUUCAAGUGACGAUUCAGUUUAGCUAGAAUUUCAAUUUAGGUUUCAAGCUUUUCGGUGCCGACUCGAGGUUGCCGAUAGGGUUCGCGGUCUAAGCUCCUGCUACUGUUGCAUUUUCCGGUCAGAUUGAGUUCGCCGGAGUAUGUUGUAACUGAGUUCUUGUUAAUAUUAUUAAGGUCUGAUUCUAAACUCUUCCUUUUCGUCAUUUCUCAUGUGAGUAUUUUGUGUUUUAUUUUUAAUCAUGCUUUAAUCGUUGUAUCCAUGAUUAAGUUUUUAAUUCCUCUAGUCUUCUGUUCUCUUAUGCUUGUUUGAGUUGGGAUUUUUAUUUGAAUUUUCAAUUGAAAACAAUUUAUAGAUUUUGUCUUAUGACUGUUGGACCAUUAAUCCACCACUAAGUUUUCUUAACAAAAAUAAGGCACUAAGGAUUUUGGAGUUGUGCGAGACAUGGAAAUUUCAAAUAGCUUUUCUGGUUUUGGUCCAUGUUAAUAUGGAUUUUAGGCCUCUUUGUUUUCAUCUGGUUUAUUUGACUUGAAUGUUUGUGGCUGUAGUAAUUAUCUGGAAGAUAUAGCAUUAUGCAAAUGCAAAGAAUGUUAGAAUUUUUGUCAUUUUGAACGUGGGGUGGACAACAAGAAUGGAGAAAUUGAAUUUAUCAUUUUAAUUGUUUUACUUUACUUUCUCGUUCCGCUAGUAGCAUGUUUGAGCUGACCACACAUGCGUAGGCGAAAUUUUUGGAGCGUAAUAAAAUUGCCAUAGCUACGGGUACGGUUCCCGUAACGUAGUUGUGAUACGUAAUCCCCAAUUUGGGUGUGCAUUUCAUGUGACCUGAUUAUAACAACUUCGAAUAAUAAAACCCUUUGAAAUAAAUUGAGGCGUGCCAUGCUAAAUAAAACCCCUAAUCUCAUGAACCUCACAUAACUAAUUAGCUUUUAUAGAAAAUUUGAGGUGUGCCAUUUUAAUGAAAUAACCCAUGGUCCUCAUUUAAUUAAUAAUAACUCUUUUAAAACUGGGGUGUACCAUCAAUUGAAUUUUCCAUGGCCCUCGCAAACUUUGUUAUUAAUUUGAACUUUCGUAGUUGCUUUAGGCACGUUCUGUAAAUUGAUUUUCCUUUAAUUACUAAUUUCGGGUGCACAUUUUAUCUGACCCAAUUUCAAUUCUUAACAACGUUAAAUAGAACGUGUCGCGGGCCGUGGGUGCAUUUCAUGUGGCAUGGUUCAAGGUAUGUUUUAAAAAAUGUUGAAUCUUCCUAAAAGUAUUUUUAAAUAAUUAAAAGCGGUUAAUAAGUUAAAAAUGCACAAUAGGUUUAAAACAUGUAGUAAAUCAGUUAAUAGGCUAAUUAUAAUAGUUUAAGCGAUCGUGCUAGAACCAUGUAACCCGGGAAUGCCUAACACCUUCUCCCGGAUUAACAGAAUUCCUUACCGAGAUUUCUGUUUUCGCGGACUGUAAUACAGAGUCAACUUUUUCCUCGAUUCGGGAUUUAAAAUAAAGCGGUGACUUGGGACACCAUAAAUCAUCCCAAGUGGCGACUUUGAAUCUUCAAAUAAAUAAAUCCCGUUUCGAUUGUCACUUUAAGUUGGAAAAAACUCCCCUAUACCCUCCCUUCGGGUAAAAAGGAGGUGUGACAGAUAUUAUCACCCUUUAAAUUUGGAAAAGGCAUAUUUGCGGUAAAACCAGUCGAUCAACAGUGUAGUCGACGUUUCCAUGCCUUUCCCUCUUGAGUUGUCCGCUCAAGGGUACCAGUCUAAGACCCCGAUAGAAACUUUACUCUGUUUAACUGUGCAUGCAUCAUGGUCAAACCUAGCCGAGUCAGUUAUGUUGUCCGCAUAAUGACUCUUUAAGAUAGCCUUGUCCAAAGUCCACCGGGUUUUCCUGAACCCAAACGGACACCACCACGUUCUGUGCAUUUAUUUGGAGAACUAAAUGAUUUAUGCUAAUUGUUGAUGUUAAAUAGUUGAAUCUGGUAGGGUAGGGUCUUAACCCUUUUGUUUUGCAGAAAAUGAAGAACGAGGUUCCCAACUUUGGUAUGGUUAGCACGCCCCCACUCUUGCUAGACUAGUGGAGGAGUAUUUCAUCAAAUGACCAAAUCAACGAGUGGAAAGAGAGGGCCACUAAAGCUAGCGAAAAGUUGGAAUAUCUGGAGUAUAGUCUGCUGGAAUUGGAAGAAAAAGUGAGGAAGAGAGUCACUGACUGCCAGAACGCCGAGGGAAACGAAGGGGAACACCUGGCAAAGGCAUUUUUACUGGUGAACCUACGCGAACUGGAGGAUUUGAUCAACGAGAGCAUUCAAUCUGCGGAAGGUCCUUUUGGACCAAAUAGAUAGAAGAUUUUCUUUUCGCCUUAUAAAAUGUAAUAAGGCCAAUGGCCACUAGUGGCAUUUUAUUCCUUUUUAUUUAGUGUCGUUUUGGGAUUCGUCUACUUUUUAUCAAUAAAAUGAGGCAUUUAGCAUUCUAAGUUCUCCAAAUCAAUUUGUCGCUAGGCCUACCUCGGGAAAAAUGAGGCUCCCAAAUUAGGACACGAUUUACAUUCUUGCACUAUGUGUUUAAAUAUCGUAACACUUUCUUAUAAUCGCUACUGACUUGUUACCUUUUGUUUUUA